rnacentral:rRNA from 1 species
CCUACGGGGAGCAGCAGUGGGGGAUAUUGCACAAUGGGGGAAACCCUGAUGCAGCGACGCCGCGUGGGUGAAGAAGCGCCUCGGCGCGUAAAGCCCUGUCAGCAGGGAAGAAAAUGACGGUACCUGAAGAAGAAGCCCCGGCUAACUACGUGCCAGCAGCCGCGGUAAUACGUAGGGGGCAAGCGUUAUCCGGAUUUACUGGGUGUAAAGGGGGCGCAGACGGCGAUGCAAGCCAGGAGUGAAAGCCCGGGGCCCAACCCCGGGACUGCUCUUGGAACUGCGUGGCUAGAGUGCAGGAGGGGCAGGCGGAAUUCCUGGUGUAGCGGUGAAAUGCGUAGAUAGCAGGAGGAACACCGGUGGCGAAGGCGGCCUGCUGGACUGCAACUGACGUUGAGGCCCGAAAGCGUGGGGAGCAAACAGGAUUAGAUACCCCAGUAGUC